rnacentral:rRNA from 1 species
GAUGAACGCUGGCGGCGUGCCUAAUACAUGCAAGUAGAACGCUGAAGGAGGAGCUUGCUCUUCUGGAUGAGUUGCGAACGGGUGAGUAACGCGUAGGUAACCUGCCUGGUAGCGGGGGAUAACUAUUGGAAACGAUAGCUAAUACCGCAUGACAACAGUUAUUGCAUGAUAACUGUUUAAAAGGGGCAACUGCUCUACUACCAGAUGGACCUGCGUUGUAUUAGCUAGUUGGUGAGGUAACGGCUCACCAAGGCGACGAUGCAUAGCCGAACUGAGAGGGUGACACGGCCCAGAGUGAUACGGGAAGGAGCAGGACGGCAUCGGGGGCAAGGGGCGGAAGACUGAGCGAGAUAGGCCGAGUGCGUGAGGAGCGUUGUCGGGUCGGGAAGCACGGUUGUCAGGGAGGAACGCGCGUGCAGGUGGAAAGUUCAGAAUGUGACGGUACCUUAACAAGAAGCGACGGCUAACUACGUG